CUUAGUUUGCAUGUCCUUCACAUUCAAUCCAGGACAAGGGUUACCAGGUAGAGCCUUAGCAAACAAUUAGCACAUAUGGUUGAAUAAUGCACAAUUCGCAGACAUCAGAACUUUCUCAAGGUCUCCUUUAGCAAAGAGUGCAUCCAUACAGACAGUGGUCUGCUUUCCCUUCAUGGAUAUUGUUCUGGAGCUAGGUACAACUGAACUGGUAAUUUUCUAGAACUGCAUCAUUUCAACAGUGUCAAUAAAUCCACUUGACUCUCAUUUGACUUCAUUUUUUUCUGAUUUCAAC